rnacentral:rRNA from 1 species
UACGGAGGGUGCAAGCGUUAUCCGGAUUCACUGGGUUUAAAGGGUGCGUAGGUGGGUUGGUAAGUCAGUGGUGAAAUCUCCAGGCUUAACUUGGAAAUUGCCUUUGAUACUAUCUAUCUUGAAUAUUGUGGAGGUAAGCGGAAUAUGUCAUGUAGCGGUGAAAUGCUUAGAUAUGACAUAGAACACCUAUUGCGAAGGCAGCUUACUACGCAUAUAUUGACGCUGAGGCACGAAAGCGUGGGGAUCAAACAGG